AGAUAAUGAACAUUUGAAAUAAAGUCAGAAUUUGUUAAAGGGCAGAUGACAGUCAGCCUUGAGCCCUGAUGAUCCCAGGAUCCCUUCCAGUGGGAGAACUCUAAGUACCAGUCCAAGGUAUCUUUGGAGACUGGAUGUGCAGCUCAGUGGCAGAGCACUUGCCUGGCAUGUGAGAGGCCAUGGAGUCCAUCCCAGCACCACACACACAGAAGAUGUCUUUGACAGGACUCAAGCAUGAGAGGAGCUGUGUGCCUGCGAUCAAGGUCAAAGCUGAUAAGACUCUAGCACAAAGCCUUCUAAUGCAGGGCAUUGCUACAGCAGGUAGGCAUCCCGUGUCUUUGCACAGAAGUUUUCCUAGCAUCCAGGCAUUCCUCGUCUUGGCACAGAAACUUCCUAGCCACCAAGCAUGCCACAUUCAUGAAGCCAUCAGAGACCCCAGUCCCAAACA